CCUACGGGAGGCAGCAGUGAGGAAUAUUGGUCAAUGGGCGCGAGCCUGAACCAGCCAAGUCGCGUUAGGGAAGACGGUCCUAUGGAUUGUCAACCUCUUUUGUCGGGGAGCAAACGACGCCACGCGUGGCGUUCCGAGAGUACCCGAAGAAAAAGCAUCGGCUAACUCCUUGCCAGCAGCCGCGGUACUACGGGGGAUGCGAGCGUUAUCCGGAUUUAUUGGGUUUAAAGGGUGAGCAGGCGGAAGAUCAAGUCAGCGGUAAAAUUGAGAGGCGCAACCUCUUCGAGCCGUUGAAACUGGUUUUCUUGAGUGAGCGAGAAGUAUGCGGAAUGCGUGGUGUAGCGGUGAAAUGCAUAGAUAUCGCGCAGAACCCCGAUUGCGAAGGCAGCGUACCGGCUCCACACUGACGCUGAGGCACGAAAGCGUGGGUAUCGAACAGGAUUAGAUACCCGAGUAGUC
rnacentral:rRNA from 1 species